CCGACUUUGCACCAGAAUCGAAAGUUAAAACGGAUCCUAACGACGAAGACGGAAUGAAAAAGUUUUUGAAAUCUGCCGUUGAUAACCAUGACGUGCUUCUUUUCAUGAAAGGCUCUCCUGAAGCUCCUCAGUGUGGAUUCAGCGCCAAGGUUUCCCAGAUCCUCAGAGCAGAAAACGUUGACUUUAGUAGUGCAGAUGUUCUAGCAAAUCCAGAAGUGCGAGAGGGAAUCAAAGCGUUUUCUGAUUGGCCUACAAUCCCGCAGUUAUACGUUCAAGGAGAAUUUGUAGGAGGUUGUGACAUUGUUAGUGAUAUGUACGAGACCGGCGAACUAAGCGAGUUAUUGGAACCCGUUAAGCAGAAACAAAAGGAAGCGAAAUCUGAAUCGUAAUCAUUAGUAGCUUGGGAAAUAUAUUAAACAGUAUGAUGAAAUCCGCAUCAGCAUGUGAUUUGCAUAAA
rnacentral:rRNA from 1 species